UAAACUCCAAACCGAUCAGUUGUGGAAGGUUAGUCAUUAACAAAAGAAAAAUUAAAAUUAAAAUUGAGGAACACUGGUAAAUGGUUGGGGUUUAGAACGCAAACUGAGGAAUCCCCUUCCAUAUCUUCGGCUCGAUCUCCUCUCUCGAGUCUCCAUCCUCUUAUGUCGCCAUAUUCGUUAUCUCCGCCCGUCGUCAUCGUCUCGGCAACCGACGUAUCUACUAUGGUUGGGGUUAGAAGUUUAGAACGCACACAGGCGCACAGAUGAAUUAUUCUGUUUAAAUCCCUUUCCAUCUCUCCGACUCGAUCUCCUCUCUCGAGUCUCGAUCCUCUCCGUUACUCCGUCGUCGUCAUCGUCUUGACAACCGAUUCAUCAGCAGGUAGUGUUCUUUUCUUACUCGCCGCCUUCUUUAACUCCAAUCCGAACACUAAAUCUAAAUUUCUACUAGAUUGAGUUUUCGUAUCGAGUAGUUAGUUCCUGUUUGAUUUGAUUUGAAUUUCAAUAAGAUUUUCCUUUAUAUUUGUUUCUUCAUGAUUUUUUCGUCUUUAAUUUGACUUUUUUUAGGUAUUUAUUGGUGGUUGUUCUGAUUUUAGGUUUUUGUAUUAGGUAUUUCUAUCCUAAAUUGGUUUUUAGUAUAUUCUCCUCAUUUAGUCCAUUGGUUGUUGUUUAAUUUGCUAAGGGCACCAACUUGAAGUUUUUGGUACUCGCAACAAUGUUGUUCGUUGAGUUCCCUAAGGAACCACAAUGAGUCAUUGAGAUGUGAACAAUUUAACCCCUCAUUCUUGAAACAACACUUUGCUUAGCUAAUCUAGGUCUCAGGUUGAUAAUUGGUAAGCAUGGACAAAUAGAUAUUAGGACUUAAGAGACCAACAUAAUUAAAGGGAGUUAAAAGAAGCUCACCCCAUCUGUUGCCAAUAUGGAAAAUCGAUCUCUAUUUAGUAUGAAAAAUAACAAAGAUAACAUUACAAGAGAGGUAGAGAGCUCUAACGUGGUAAGUUACGCUUUGAGUGAUCAAGUCAAUUGUUAGUUAAACUGGCACCAACUUUCCAUUUUCACAUGUUGUUGUUAGCACUGCAGGAGAGUCUCCAACAUUAUUUAUAGUGUGGAGUUCCUUGAGUUUACUGGAUAUAACAUUCAGAGACGUAUGUAUUUUAUGCACAAGACACUAAGACAUCGAAUAGACGAGUGGGAGCUUGUAUGUCUAGUAAAUUAGUAGCAUCCUUGUGUUUUAGGAUUUGUUGAUUUCUAAUUUCUCAUUCCCUAAUUUUAGAGGAUUAAAAACUCUAAGUAGGAGAAAUAAUUAUUGUCUAGGAUAAUCUUGUUUUUCUUUGUUUGUAAUGCCUAUAGAUAUUGCAUAAAUUUUUGUUCUUGCUAAUUUUGUAACUUUUCCCUAAAACCUUAUACACAGGCUCUUGAAUAUCAAAAGAAAAUUUGUACGUUCUUGGUGAAUACUGAAUAGUGCUAGCUUCCAUAGCUGCUUACUGUCUUUGGUUCUGUCAUAUCGGAUUAGGUACACGGCUUUUUGGCAGAUAUUAUUUAACAAAUAACUUUCUAGUUUAAAUGAAAUGUGAGCUGACUUAGAUGCCCCAGAAAUAAACUCAAACCAAUUGGCAAUUUUACUAUCCCUUUCAUUUAUUUCAUAUUCUCCCGACUGUUUUAAUCAUUAAGGAAAAGGCUUUUCAUUGCUUCUAGAUAAUUCAAAGGACCUGUUUGAGAGUGCAACCAGGCUUUAAGAAGGUAAACUUUUCUUUUCCAUUUUUUUUAUGUACUGGGUUACCUGGUUGUUUGUUUUCAGGUCAGGCAAGAGGUUAAAUGCAUAGCUCCGUUUAGCACUUUUGGUUUUGGCUUUCAUUUUGUAUUAAAUGAAUCCAUCUCAGUAAUUUCAGUACUAAUAUAGUCAUAUGUGUGUAGGUUAUUUAUAAAAAAUUAUUGGAUUUAAAUGUGUUGCUGUAUGUAGGAAUCAUUCAAUUGAUGUCACUCAAUGUAAAUACCUCUUACAAACUUGCAAUUUUCUUCAAACAGAAUGGUCUUUGAUUUUGCGAAGUUUUACUUUUCUGCAUUUCUCGCCAGUGGCUAACUUUGAUGAUUUGAGACCAUGAUGCAUGGAAUUCCUAUGACUACGAGUGAAGAGAAAGAAAGCCCUAAAGCCUGCAAUUAAGCUUGGAGGUGAUUUUCAGUAUGUGUUAAAUGUUAAUGGGUCCACUCCUGCUGAAGUAUUGGGCAUAAACUAUAAAUCUACACUUAAGCCUGCAAUCAGCGCAUAUGCUGAUGAGACUAAGAAAAGUGCUACCACAAUGUUGGAAGAGAUUAUUGCCCUAAAAUCACAAUCUAAAGAACUGACUACCAGGAUUGAAGCAAUGAUGCAACGUCUUGCAGUACUUCAGUUGCAAAUUGAUGAGGAUCACGAUGAUGGAUUGGAUCGGAUAGCAAAUGAAGAUUAAAAUUGACAAUGAGAAUCAUGCGCACGUAAGGGAAACCAGUUGAAGAUGAAAAGAUAGAAGACAUUUAGUUUUGGAUUAUACAUUUUAGUUUUGGAUAUGAUCAUUUGUUUUUAUUUUGAACAUAAUAAUGUAAUGUUCAUAGAUCGUACAUCAAAUACUAUUAUUUUAAUUUGUUAGGGAGCGGGUGUGCUCCCUUCCUUUAGUUGUUUCCUUGUUUGGAACUUAUUUUGUGUACGUACUAUCUUUUGAUAAUAAAAUUGCUAUUUUACCAAAAGAAA